rnacentral:pre_miRNA from 1 species
UUAACUCUGAUUUGUAUGGGGUUGGAUCGUUUGCCUACGUUUGCCGCUAGGGGCGCUGUUCCAACUGCAUACAAAAUUGACUUA